rnacentral:tRNA from 1 species
GGGGGUAUAGCUUAGUGGUAGAGCCCAUGCUUGGCAUGCACGAGGUCCUGGGUUCAAUACUCAGUGCCUCUG